UAUUACAUAUAUCAUAUACAUAUACAUAUACAUAUACUGUACCGGAGUUCCGGUACUAUAGUCUUGUUUUCGAUCUUAGGGUGUUAAAAUUAACGAUCCACACCGUUAAAUAUGAUCUAGGGUAUAUGAAGUUCUUAGGAAUAAAAUUUUAGUUUUUUUCGACAUCGUUUACUUAGUAAAUAAAUUAUGUCAAAAUGGACGGUGGAAAUUGAAUAAUCUUUAAAAUUUGAGCGUAGGACUUUUAAAUUCAAGAUCAAGAAUGUUAACCUUAAUCUAGAUAGUUUAAACUAUUUUCUAUCAAAAUUUGAAGAAAUUUAGAUUCUUCUACACCGUUAAACUCCAAACCCGCCAUAGUAGCCAUUGAAAAUUGACAAUUUUGAAAUGGUUUGAUCAUAAAGUAAAUUAUGUCGAAAAAAUACAAAAUUUUAUUUCUAAAAACUUUAAAUACCUUAGAUCAGUUUUAACAAUGUGGAUCGUUGAUUUGAACACCCUAAGAUCGAAAACGAGACUAGUACCGGAGCCCGGUACUAUAGAUAGUAUAGGAGACUAGCUCUCUCUCUCUCUCUCUCUCUAUAUAUAUAUAUAUAUAUAUAUAUAUAUAUAUAUAUACAUACAUACAGACAUACAAACAUACACAUACACAUACACAUACACAUACAGAUAUACAUAUAUACAUGUAUAUACAUAUACAUAUAUACAUACAUAUACAUAUACAUAUAUACAUAUAUACAUAUAUAGAAUUGAGCUGGAAUACUAUCGGUAGCAAACGGGUUCCAUUGCCACCCAUUUGUUUUUGAUGAUGGAGCCUCCAAAUCGACGAUCGGUACUGUUGAAAAUGAUCUAUACCACUUGAAGUAUCUAGAAAUCAAAUUUCAUGCUUUUUCGAUAUUGUUCUCUUAUUCAUCAAGUGGGUGUAAAAAUGAACGGCUGAAAAUGAAUAUCCUCUAAAAUGUGAUGAUAGGAAUUUUGUAAUCAAGAUCGAGAGUAUAGAUCUUGUUCUAAAUAGUUUAAAGAAUUUUCUAAUCAAAAUUUAAUUAAUUUGGAUAGCUUUACACCUUUAAACGAGAAAAUGCCUCAUAUCGACUAUUAAAAUUACAAAUUUUGAAACCCUUUGAUCAUUAGGUCAAUGAUGUUGAAAAGAUUAGAAAUUUGAUUUUUAGAUACUUCAAGUGAUAUAGAAAAUGCAUAAAAAUUGUUCAAUUCUGAGACUACUCGAUCACAAGUUAAGUGAUGUCAAAAAAUUACAAAAUUUAAUUCCUAAGGUAUCGUUUGGUUCGGGGAUAAGCAAAAAGUGGCUAUUCCAGGGAUAGGUAUAAAUUGAGGUAUAUGCGGGGAUUAGAUCAAUUUUGCGUUUGGAUGAAAAUUGGGUUAUUUCUGGGAAUAAAAAAAAUAGCGUUUGGUUAGGUAAGAUGGAAUAAGAAAGAUAGUGGGUUUUAAUAAAUAAAAAAUAAUGAUAUUAUCCUCUUAUUAUAUUUGAAUUUAAAUUUUUAAAUUUUUAAUUUUAAAAUUUUAACUUUUAAAUUUCAAAAUUUGAAAUUUAAAAUCUCAAAUUUAAAAUUCAAAAUUUUAAAUUUUAAAUUUCAAACUUUAAAUUUAAGAUCAAAUUUAAAUUUAAUAAAUAUAAAAUAUCAAAUUUUAAAUUUCAAAAUUAAAAUAUCAAAAUUAAAAUUUAUAAUUUAUAAUUUAUAAUUUAUAAUUAUAAACUUUAAUUUUGAGAUUAUAAAUUAUAAAUUAUAAAUUUGUAAAUUUUAAAAUUUUAAAUUUUAAAUUUUUAAAAUUUUAAAAUAAGAAUAGGAGUGGGAACAAUUAAUAAAAAUAAUUUAUUAUAAUACAUUUAUAAUUUUUUUUAAAAUUCUACUUAAACUUAAAUUUAAUAAAAAUAAUUUAUUAUAAUAUUCAAAUAUAAUUUAUUAUAAAUUUUAUUAUAAUAUUUAAAUAUAAAUAAUAUUUAUUAAUAUAGUACAAUUAAUAAUUGUAUAAUAAAAAUAAUGUAUUAUAAUAUAUAAGAUAUUAUAAUUAUAUAAUUUAGUUUUAAUUCAAUUUAUAAUAAUUUUAAUUAAGUUUGAAAUUAAGAAUUGGAAUAGCACCAUUCCACUAAAAUGGUGGAAUAGCAAAUCCCUUGUUAUUCCGGAAUAAUCGGGAAUAGCAAGGUUUGGCCGGGAUAAAAUAUCCCGGCCAAAUUUCACCCCGUUUGGCGGAAUAGUGGGGAUAACUUUCGUUAUCCCCGCUUAUCCCCCGAACCAAACGGGGCCUAAAAGUUUUGAAUGUUCUAGAUAAACUUGAACGGUGUGGAUCGUCGAUUCGGAUGUUGUAUCAUCGAAAAUGGCUAAAUAGUACCGAGCCAGAAUACUCUUAUGAGUAUUCUUGCCCAUCUCUCUCUCUCUCUCUCUCUCUCUCUCUCUUUAUAUUUUUAUGCCUAUUAAGUGCAGUAAUGAAGUAUGCUUCAUUAUUGCAUUUCUUAAUCUUUUAAGGUUUAAAUCUCUUAACCAUAUCUUUUCGUAUGUUUCAGUAACAUUUUUAUGAUUAUUAAUGUAACCUGUUAUCAUAUAUAUAUCGAUUUUUUUUUUCUUUUAAUUAGUAUACUUGUAAAUGGACAUUUUUAUUCAUUUAGUCCUGUUUGCUGAGUAAUUCCUUCUCCUUGUAACAAACAAGUGGUUCUUAGUAAGAAAUCUCGGUAGCUGCUCUUGAGAUUGGACGUAGCAGGGGCAUGUUGCAGGAUAUUGUAAUCACCUCAGUUUCCUUUUGAGUGGAAAAAGUUGAGCUUUUUAGUAAAUGAUCUUUGAGAUUUUGUUUCCUACUGAUAGGACUGUUUGGUCUUACCUUCUUUCUAAAUAAGAAGUUGCAGCUACUAAUUAAAUAUAUUAUCUUUACCCUUGUCCCUUUUUCUUUUUAUUUCAUCGUAUUUCUUCUUAUUCUGACUGGUUUCAUCUUAAAGUUUUGAUGGUAUCAAGCCUAAACUGAUUUCCUAGGAGUGUGAGGCAAAAGUUUUGACCUAACCAAAUUCUGAUUAUUGUUCAUGAAAGCUGAUUUAUCACUAUAGAUUUAAGUGUAACUUCAGUGAAUCUGAAGUUUGAAGAUAAUUUGCUGGCAACUUGCCUGUAUGCGUACAUAAUUGGCCAUCCAAAGGAAGGAUUGGAUGUUGUAGAUCCAAAUUUCAUUACACCUAUAGUGACAGAAACUAUGAUGCCCUAUGGAUGGUGCGAGGAGGUGACAUACUGGAUGAUAUAAAGCCAGUUUGCAUAUGUUAUAUCUUUGUAUAGGUUAAUAUUUUUUUGAUCUUCGGCAAAAUAUCAUGGUUUGUUGGUUUUCACUUGGUGGUAAUGGUUCGUUCUGGUGUAGUUUUCUAAUGCUAGAAUUUUUCUGUGAUCAUUAUUUUCAUGGUAAUUUUUGUGUAAUGCAGGAACGAACACAUGGGAUCGCUUUGAGUUUCGCAUCCACAAGAGGGUGAUUGACCUCUACAGCUCUCCUGAAGUGGUGAAGCAGAUCACCUCCAUCACUAUUGAGCCUGGUGUGGAUGUUGAGGUCACCAUUGCAGAUCUCUGAAAAGCUAAUUUUCUGUAGGUGUCCUAGAUAUCAAUUAUAUGAUCCUCUAUUUGGUAAUCUUUUCUCUUAUAGUCAUUUCUUUUUAUUGAGACUCAGAUUUUAGAGCCUUAUCAUCUUUUUGUUUUUCGAAUUUAGAACCAAGUUUUUGGUUUGAGCUAUAAUAUUAUGCAGUUGUUAAAAGUGAGUUUUUACUAUGCUUUUGUGUGUUAAAAGUUGAGGCAUGACCCCUACCUCACCUUAUGAUGUCCUUAAUGGCUUCCGCUUGUCAAAGCUUCAAGUGCUGUUUGAGUAGAGUGAUUCAAAUAUGCAUUUUUUUUUUCCAUUAAGUGCUGUUUGAGUAGAGUGAUUCAAAUAUGCAUUUUUUUUUUCCAAAUAAAUUUCCCUUGAGAGCUUCACAAUCUGAAGCUGCUGCUUUUUGGGAUCACGAACUUAUUUCAGAUCAUACUGGCUAGAGGCUGUAGCAUUUUGAUUGUUGAAUGCUUUAUCUUCUGCUCCUCAAUGCUUGUCUUCUGCUUCUCGAGCAGACAACCUGUGUAUAUUCAGGGAUAUUUCCUGCCUGGUUGCUGGCUCCAAAGGAAGAACUGUUUCUUUUUUUUUUUUUGUUGUUGUCGUUGUUGUUGUUGUUGUUGUUGUUGUUGUUGUUGUGGAAGUGUUUGCUACAGAAGGUUAGGUUAAAUUUUUGCCGCAAGAGAGAGGUCUUUUACUCUGAAAAUUGUCUUGCUGUUGCAGCGCUAGAGUAAGGAAUUCAAUUUGGGACAGGAAGUGUUAAUUUUAUGGUGAAAUUGUAUGACAGUAAAAAGCUAAUAAGUGAAUUAAAAUUUUAAAAUAAAAUUUCUGUAAAAAUAUUAUUUACAAACAGUAAAAAAAUUCAAAUGACAUUAUAAAGUCACUGCAGAAAUAUUAACUUUUUUUUUUUUUUUUUUUUGCUUGAUUCUGUCAAACACACUACAGUUUUUAAAUAAAAUCAAUUUUCUAAAUUAAAAUUAAUUUUCAAAUUAAAAUUAACUAUACAAAAUUUACUUCUCUAAUAAUUAAACCAAACAGGUCCAUAGUCACAUGCAACCAGUAAUACAAGGAUUAGAAUUCUAUACUAGUGACAGGGCUUUGAUAAGAUGAAUUCAUGACACAACACUACAAAAUAACUCUGUAAUAGAAAACUUCGGCUACGAUCGUACGGUCAAAAAGCACGGUGCAAACAUUGUUUUCAUUGAUAAUAAAUUAGGUAGAUCAUGCUAAUUUAGUCAAGAUAUGAUUGUAUAGUUUCAUCAAAACAUGAAAAGGCAUAUUUUCAUUUUCUUCUACCGCAGCUCAAAUUGGCUAAAUAAUGUUGGAUAGUUCUCAAUCUAAAACAAGCCCUAAGUUAUUACUAAUUAGUAAUAAUAAGUAGGUUAGAGUAGAAUAGCAUUAUACUUAUACCACUCAAUGUAUCUAACUCAAUUGAAAAGAUUUAAUAGUUGGUAUCUAUUGUCUAAGUUCGAAAUCUAAUUAUUUUAUGUUUAUAUUUGAUUUUAAAUAAAAAAAAUAAACGAAGUGGAUCUUGUUCUCAAAAUUAAAAAAAGAAUUAUACUUAUUCUGGAAUGUGCACAAGAGUAAAAUUAGAACUGAAUCAACUGGUUCCAACAGAGUACUUAUUCUGGAAUGUGCACAAGAGUAAAAUUAGAAUUGAAUCAACUGGUUCCUACAGAGCCAUACCAAGUUAGUAUUCGCCUUUGUCCUCAAUUUUUGCGUGCAUUGGGUCCCAAAAUUCAGAAUCAAAGCGCGUUGCACCGAGUUUUAUUAAUAUUUAUAUAACUGCACAUAUCUAAACAGAUACCGAUGUAUAUAUAUAUAUAUAUAGAGUUGAGCUAGAAUACUCUCAAAAGUACCAAGAGGUUGGUAUUUUUGAAUUUUUAACCCUUAAAUGAAGAAAUGUAAGGUUGGGAUGGUGGUGGUAGGUGGUGGUAGGUGGAAUAGUGUUUGAUCCAAGAACUAUUAGUAAUCAUGGAGUAGAUCCAAGGGCUAAAAACCUAUAAGCACCAAGGGGGUAAGACUUCUAAAAGUAUUCUAGCUCAAUUCUCUCUCUCUCUCUCUCUCUCUCUCUCUCUCUAUAUAUAUAUAUAUAUAUAGAGUUCGGUUGCUACGCUAUCUAUCGAUAGCACCAAGCAUUUUGUGCUAUCAAGUUUUCUGCUGUUAGAUUAAUCUCUUUGAUUAUUUUUACCCGUUAGAUUAUACUAUUCAACCAACCACCCACUCAACCCUAGGAGGUCCAUAUCAUUCUAACCGCACAUUUCUCAAUCUAAUGGCUAAAAAAUCGAUAGUAACAAGAGUUUGGUGCUAUUGAUAGUAUUCUAAUCUAGUUCUAUAUAUAGAGUCUGGCCGCUAUGCUAUCGAUAGCACUAAGUACUUGGUGCUAUCAAGUUUUCUGCCGUAGAGUUUAGUGGUAGUCCCCUUAGGGUUGAGUGGGUGGUUGGUUGAAUAGUAUGAUCUACAGGAUGAAAUUGAUUAAAGUAUAAAUUUAACGGCUAAAAAAUUAAUAGUAAAAAAGUUCAAAUACUAUUAAUAGUAUGUCAGCUCAACUCUCCCUCCCUCUCUCUAUAUAUAGAGUAAAGCUACUAUGCUAUCGGAAGCAUAGGAGAUCUGAUGUUUUCGACUUUUUAGCCCUUAGAUCAACUAUUUUGAUCAUUUUUAACUUUUGGAUUAAUACUAUUAUCUUGUAGGGACCACUUUACCCUAAGAGUACUAUUCAAUCUUAGGAGCGGACCGCAAUCAUCCCAAACAUACAAUUCUUGAUCCAAAGGUAAAAAAAUCGAAAACAUCAAAUUCUCUAUAUUUCCAAUAGUAUAGUAGCUUUACACUAUAUAUAUAUUUGAUGGAAUUUACCAUAUACCUAUUUUGAGCUUUUGAAUCUAUUAUUAGGGAGUACACGGCUGGGGCAUGAUAGAAAUGCAACAUUUGCAAGCUGUAACUACCCAACCAAUGCUUGCUUUACUUGAAAGUGUGACUCUACUCUAAUUGGAACUCUAAUAUCGGGUUUGGGUUCGAAAACUUGGAUCCAGUGACUUAUCUUAUUCCGUUCUGAACCGAAGAUGGCUUAUUUACUUUAAAGUUUGAUAGUAGUUUUUAGGAAAAACUUCAGAAACCCCCCAUGUGGUUUCGUAGUUUCUCACUUUGCCCCCCUGUGGUUUAAAGUGUAUCAAUUUGCCCCCCUGUGGUUUCGUUUUUAUCUUUUCGGUAGCUUUUCGUUAAUAUUUCGUUAAAUUAUAUACAAAAAACUUCAGAUACCCAUCUAUAUUUAUCAAAUAUUCACUUUAGUACCCUUUAAUUUUAACUUUAUUACUAAUUUAAGGAAAAAAAAUAAUGAAAUUGAUAGGAAAAAGAGAAAAACAAAAUCACAGGAGGGCAAAUUGAUACAUUUUAAACCACAUGGGGGCAAAGUGAGAAAUUAUGAAACCACAAGGGGGUUUUUUGAAGUUUUCCCUAGUUUUUAAUAACCAACUGGAUUCAAAUACAGAUCUAUCCUAGAUGGACUCGAGCACAAUUAUUAGCCCAACUCAAUUUCUCGUGAAUUUGAUCAUUGUCUAGUUAAAACACUGACUCAAUAUCUCAUCUCGAACUAUGUGAAUAAAGUAACCAGUGGCUUUUUGGAUUUAGAUUCGAAUCCGAAACGAAUCCGACGCUUUGACACCGCUUACGCGAACGACCAAAACAAAACUGGCUUGCUUAUGCUUUGUUCUCUCUCUUAAAAACUUCAUAUAAAACAAAAAAAGGGGCUUUUACCCAUUUAUUCCUUAUUAUGAAGUUACGAAAAUACCUUUUUAAACCCUAGUUUCUAUUAGUAAAUCUAAAAAUCUGGGAACAAAUGAAAUUUUUUUGAAAAUCAAUGAGUGAAUUUUGGUAAAUUAGAAAUAAAUAUAUUAGAUAUAUUUGGAGUUGUAGAAGGAAUAUUUGAUAUUAUUCCAAAAAAAUAUAUAUCAGAGUACUUAUUUUCACUUAUACCUCUCACACAAAUACUCUCUCUCUCUCUAAUAAAUCCCAGCAGUCCUAAUCAAAAUUAAGAAACAAAUUGCCCUGGCUUAGAAAUUAGCACUUGCUUAGAAACUAAGCGACAACCAGGUGGUCCUAAUCUCCAAGAUACACCGAAAAGGCAAAAGGAAAUAUCCCAAAUCCGCAUUUUUCACCGGACACCCCGAACCUUUUUCGCUUUUUAUUUGACCUCCUCUAUCACUUCCUCUUUCUCUUUUUCUGUCUAAAUUACCUUCAAAUGAAGCCAAGAACAAUACACAUUGCUUAUAGUAAUGGGUUUUAGUUUCCCUCCCCCUUCCAACAAAGCAUAUUCCCAGUUUCACAUUACAAAAAGUAAGAAGAGAGAGAGAGAGAGAGAGAGAGAGAGAGAAAUUGGGCUACAUUACAUUUCCGUUCUUGGGUAGUAGCAGUAGCAACGAGAAACAAGAAGGGAGGAAAAAGAUAGUAAUAAUAGUAAAUUGGUGGGUUUUUCUUUAUUUACUAUUUUCUUUUUUUUUUUGGUUUAUUAAUAAUUAAUAAUAAUAAUUUUUUGGAGAAAUCUACUACUAUUAUUGUUGGACGGCUCAGAUGAAGCCCAUCAUCUCCUCCCACCUCGACGCCCCUCCUCCCAUGGCGUCGUCUUCUUCCUCCUCCUCAUCCGCCGCCGCCGCCGCGUCCUCCUCCUGCUCGGCCGGCGGCGGCGGAGGAAACCCUAAGCCCAAGCCGGAGAAACCCCCCUAUAACCACCCCUACCACCGCCUCCUCCCCCGCUGGCACCACCACCAUCACCAUGUCCCGUCUCUCUCCAAGCUCUCCAUUUGGUCCUUCUUCGCCCUCGCCCUGUUCCUGGCCCUCUUCCUCCUCUCCCCCAAACCCCACGCCCCUUCUUCGUCCUCCUCCUCCUCCUCGGCGGCCCGCGAGGAGCGCCGCCGCUCCCUCCGCGCCGCCGCCGCCGCCGGGGCCUGGGAGCGGAGCGUGCGCGCGUCGGCUGCCCCGCGGCGCGGCGCGCCGGGCGGCCUCUCGGUGCUCGUCACGGGCGCCGCGGGCUUCGUCGGGUGCCACGCCGCCGCCGCGCUGCGGCGCCGCGGCGACGGGGUCGUGGGCCUCGACUCCUUCAACGACUACUACGACCCCUCCCUCAAGCGCGCCCGCGCCGCGCUCCUGUGGCGCGCGGGGGUGUUCGUCGUGGAGGGCGACAUCAACGACGCCCCGCUCCUCCGCAAGGUGUUCGACGCCGCCCCCUUCUCCCACGUCCUCCACCUGGCCGCCCAAGCCGGGGUGCGCCACGCCCUCAAGAACCCCUCCUCCUACGUCGCCUCCAACGUCAACGGCCUCGUCUCCCUCCUCGAGGCCUGCCGCUCCGCCGAUCCCCAGCCCGCCGUCGUCUGGGCCUCCUCCUCCUCCGUCUACGGCCUCAACACCCGCACCCCCUUCUCCGAAUCCGACCGCACCGAUCGCCCCGCCUCCUUAUACGCCGCCACCAAGAAGGCCGGCGAGGAAAUUGCCCACGUUUACAAUCACAUCUACGGGCUCUCCAUCACCGGCCUCCGCUUCUUCACCGUUUACGGCCCCUGGGGCCGCCCUGACAUGGCCUACUUCUCCUUCACCCGCGACAUCCUCCGCGGCAAGCCCAUCACCGUCUUCGAGGGCCCCGGCCACGCCACCGUGGCGCGCGACUUCACCUACAUCGACGACAUUGUGCGUGGCUGCCUCGCCGCCGUCGACACCGCCGGGAAGAGCACGGGGAGCCGGGGCAAGAAGCGCGGGCCCGCCCCGCUCCGGGUCUACAACCUCGGGAACACGGCCCCCGUGCCCGUCGCGGAGCUCGUCACGAUCUUGGAGCGGCUCUUGAAGGCGAAGGCGAUAAGGAAGGUGGUGAAGAUGCCGCGGAACGGCGAUGUGCAGUUCACUCAUGCCAAUAUUAGUUUGGCGGAGAGGGAGCUCGGGUACCGGCCCACAACGAAUCUGCAUACCGGGCUCAAGAAGUUCGUGCGGUGGUAUCUCGAUUACUAUGGUAAGAAGAGUGGCAGGCACGGCGGGGCCGGCAGCAUCAGCGCAAGCUGAGGUUGCGGCACCGGCAGCUUCAUAAGGUGGUCAGGGAUAUUACUAACUCUUCCUCCCAUUCUUCUACUUGUUCUUCGAAUUAUGGAAUUCUUUUCCUCGUAUUUGAAUUUAGUUGGCUACAGUUAGUACUGGAUUGCUUGUUCCUCGCAUUUCUUAUGUUUCGUCGGGUGUAUCUAUAGUAGUGCUGCAUUGUUAGAUGAACGCGGUGGAAGAUGGAAGUGAAGAGGGGAUGUGGGUCUGGCAUCGGCAAGGGUGGUUUUUUUUUUUCCUUUUAUUUUUUCUUCCCCACGCCCCCACUCGUGAAGUUUGCAGGACAUUCAUGAUUUAGUACUAUGAAGAGGAUGAAGCACGCAUAAGGUGUCAUGUUUUUUUUAACUCUUUUUUGAUCCUUCUUAUGUUCACGGCAGCAUUAAUUGCAGGCGCUGUGUCGCGAUCUAUGUGAUGAAUAUUUAGCAUUCAUGCUGUACAUGACUAAUUCGAGAAAAACAUGCUAAUUGACGGACAUCUUGCCGUGUAAAUUUGUAAUGAGAGCCACGACCGAUGGCUUUUGGUUUUGUUGCUUCUGUUUUUAUUAGCAAAGAAGAGUUGAGGCUUUUUGGUUCUUUUGAAUGUAAGAUUUUGAGAAUUGUUAUCAAAUAAGCACUCUAAAUACUCUAGUUCCUGACAUUUGAAAUUGCUAAUGAUGAGUUUGAUGCUUUUAUAAACUCAACGCAUCGUAACCUCUAUGGAGCAAUUAUUCUAGAGCUAGAAUUGCCUGAAGAUUCACUCUCUUGACUAUAUUAGGGCUUGCAAUUUUUGUAAUUCAUCAUUUCUGGCCUUUUCUUGUGCCGCCAGACAUGUUUUUUUCUCAUUUACUUUUUUAUGGACUCUUGUCAUAGUUAUGUGAGAUGAUAUGAUUUUGUUAUUUUUUGAUGUACGAUGAGAUAUUUACUUCUGGUUCUGAAACAGAAACUUUUCCUUUAGCACUCUUACAAGUGGUCCUAAUACAAUUUAGAUUGAUUUCUUCCUAAAGUGACUUUUAAUUUGUCGAGUUGUAAAGAGUACAAUUUGAUGCCUAAAGGGAGCACGGCUGCAAAAUAAAAGUUAGUAGUGCUUGACACUUGACUCUUGUUUUAAUAAAUACAGAAGAAAGAGCAAAGGAAUUAUGUGUCCUGGGAUUAGAAGAGUACAAUUUGGUAGGGGUUAAGAAUUAAGAAACCAGUCAUAGUAUGGUAAAUAGAAAUUGAUCCCAGAUGAAACUUAGUUGAGUUCACUGUAUCAUUAGUGUGGUAAAACUGUUCUAUGAAAAUUGAGAGGAACUAGCCAGUAGACAUGAAGCUUUAGAUGAACUGCUGGUUGGCCAGGUGCUUCAAAUAGGUACAUGUUAUGUUUGAGGAUGGAUAUAUAAUAUUCUUUAAAGAUUCAGAUUGUUUUGGUUACUCUAAUUGUAAAUAAUUUUGUUUGUGCUCAAAGCUUUCAAACAUAUCUAGAACAAAUUUAGGUUAAUGGAAUUGCUUUUGUAAGGGCUUAGGCCUUUGUGAUUCCAAAAUGUUGGUUUGUUCUUCUCAAACUGUAGGAUUCACUAGGAAGUUCUAAUAGAGUUGCAGACCCAAGUAUUAUAAUUCUUCCCAUGGCAUGUUGCGUCAGCACCUUUUUUUUCUCCCAAAUUGGAUCACUGUGUGACUUUUGUGGGGAAUAUUUGUAAUUUUUGUUCAUCCUGAAGUUAGAAAGGCCCCAACAUGCUGUCCCAUCUGCUUAAUGCUCGUACUUAUUUAGAAUGUUGCUGUUAUUUUCAAACAAUCAUUUUCUCAUAAUACCAUUCUUCUUCAUCACAAUAACACAGUAUGACCAAAACUUGAGGUUUUUUUUUAUUUUUUAUUUUUUAUUUUCUAUGUUUGGAAAUAGGACAUCUUUGUGAAUUUUAAUUUAGUUCUAUUUGGGUACUUCAAUGUGUUGAGUAGUAAUAUUCACUUUCUCUGUAUUUAGAUUUCUAAUUGAUCAUUGUUGCUCAUAGGCCCUUGUGCCUUUCCUAUUAUAUCUUUAAAUACAUGAAGAAUCAUCCAUCGUCUAUGUUAUUGAGAGUUUGCUGAUGGAAAAUAAGUUUCACUUGCAUCGAAGCGAGGACAUUUUUUGACUUAUUUGAAGUUCUUGGAAAAUAAUCCAAGAUAGUGUUUUGCAACCAAAAUAUUAGGUACAAAGCAUUGCAUAAUUUCACAAUUUUGUCCAACUCUGGUUUGUGUUUUGUCCUUAUUUGCACCGUGUAAGAUGUCGCUUUCUUAUUCGAACUUUCUAACUUGUCAGCUUGCUUGAAUUUUUCUCCUCUUGCUUGAGAAAAGAACAAAGUUCCAGGUACUUAUUUUUCACAAAUUGUUUAUUUUCGUUCUGUCAUUCUCCAUAUCAGUAACCCUAUGUAAAUGCCCCAUAUUGCUUGUGGAUAGCUUUUGUUAAUUUCUGACUAUCAUUAUUAUGUUACUGCAUCUGCUUUUUAUGCCUGAACUAUUGUCAAGACUAAGACAUAUUUAGACUAAUUGUUUGGUACCUGGUAUGCUAGAAUGUAUGAUGUACUUGCUGUUCCACUGAAUCUGUUGGUUGUCUAUUGUUUAGUGAGAUUUGUUAGUGUGUUUAUACUCUAGUUGUUGUGAUACAUGAUUGAAAUUUAUGAUGGCAGUUAUUUUCAGAACUAUGAGUUUGAUUUUACCAUUAUUAUAUAAUUUAGGACAUAAGUUUAAUCCGAUCUUGAUUAUACUGCUCACGGUUUAAUUUGAAUUUGAGUUAGAACUGAUUUGAAUUUGAGUUAGCACCGGGUUCCAAUUUUAUGUUUUUAGCUAUUUUGGCGAAACCAAAUAACGAAAAUCACAAACUUUCUCGAACUAAAAUUCUAUGAGGCUAACAUGAAGAAAAGCUGAUUGAUAUUUAACCUUUGCAGAUGUUUUAUUAGAAAGCUUAUCAGAUUGAUGAUUGUUCAAUGGGAGUGUCCACUUAGUUUGUUAGAAAGCUCAUCAGAUAAAUUUAUCUGCGUACCGUAUGCUCGUCGAAACAGCAGGGAGGAAACAUAAGGAUAUUUGUCAUGAUUUACUGUGUAAUAAUGCAGGAGCGAUCGCAUGAGUGGUUCUUUUAUGGUUGUAAUUAUUUUAGCAAUUAGGUGUUCGGUUAUUCUUAAUAAAAUUAGAGUCGUGAAACUAGCUCCAUUCGAAGGCACCUCAAAACAUGAACACGCCAAUGCACACGCGCAUACGCACACAAAGCAAACAUUGCGCCUUUUUAAGCGUCCUUUUAAGAGUCCAGUAUAAGAUGUUCCAAAAUCCAAGUAUAGUAGUAGUACUUACCAGUGGAAAGAGAAGAAUGGUAGCUAGUACUUUGUAUUGAUGACUUUCUUAUGUAAGAUGUUAAGAAAUAUGACAUAGAUGAGGUCUGCCAUGACAUAGAUCUGCUGUUAUUUUCAAUUUCGUUGGUUGUCUAAAUCACUUCAUCAGUAGUUAGGUUUGUAUUUUUUCUGAAUACUUUGCAAACCAGUUAGUCUAUGAUUUCGAAUUCUUCUUUCUGAUUAAAUGUGCAUAUUUCUGACCUUAUGUUUGUUGGUUUUGUUAAAAUUUGCAUCUUCGUAUUUCCUUCGCUAAAUUGACAUUUCUUACUAGUUGCAUGGUUUUUUUUUUUCCCCUAAACACUAACAGCACAGCACACGAUGCUUAUGCUUUACUGAAAUUGGUCGCAAAGUUUUUUCUUUCGCACUUUAUCUAUUAUGUUUUUUAUUGCAAAGCUCAUUUUGUGUAGAUUAGUUUUAAGGUUCUUAAUUCCUUAUAAAAGUUGCGAGUAUGAUUUUCCUCGUACUUCUUCUUCUUUUUUCUUUUUUCUUUUUUUUUUUUGAACUUAUAUAUUAGCUGCUUUACGGACAUCUGACACUUUUUAUUAU
rnacentral:lncRNA from 1 species